rnacentral:rRNA from 1 species
CCCAGUAAACGGCGGCCGUAACUAUAACGGUCCUAAGGUAGCGAAAUUCCUUGUCAGGUAAGUUCUGACCCGCACGAAAGGCGUAACGAUUUGGGCGCUGUCUCAGCUGUAGACUCGGUGAAGUCUUAGUACCUGUGAAGAUGCAGGUUACCCGCGACUAGACGGAAAGACCCCAUGGAGCUUUACUGUAGCUUGAUAUUGGACUUUGAUGCAGGAUGUACAGGAUAGGUAGGAGACUGAGAGACAUGCACGCCAGUGUGUGAGGAGUCAAUGUUGGGAUACUACUCUUCUUGUAUUGGAGUUCUAACCGGAUGCCAUGGAACUGGCAACGGGACAGUGUCAGGUGGGCAGUUUGACUGGGGCGGUCGCCUCCCAAAGAGUAACGGAGGCGCCCAAAGAUACCCUCAGCUUGGAUGGAAAUCAAGCGCAGAGUGCAAAGGCAAAAGGGUGUUUGACUGCGAGACCAACAAGUCGAGCAGGGACGAAAGUCGGGCUUAGUGAUCCGGCGGUGCUGAAUGGAAAGGCCGUCGCUCAACGGAUAAAAGCUACCCUGGGGAUAACAGGCUGAUCUCCCCCAAGAGUCCACAUCGACGGGGAGGUUUGGCACCUCGAUGUCGGCUCAUCGCAUCCUGGAGCUGAAGUCGGUUCCAAGGGUUGGGCUGUUCGCCCAUUAAAGCGGUACGCGAGCUGGGUUCAGAACGUCGUGAGACAGUUCGGUCCCUAUCUGUCGUGGGCGUAGGAAGUUUGAGAAGAUCUGUCCUCAGUACGAGAGGACCGGGAUGGACAUAUCAAUGGUGCACCAGUUGUCACGCCAGUGGCACAGCUGGGUAGCUAAAUAUGGAAGGGAUAAACGCUGAAGGCAUCUAAGUGUGAAACCCACUUCAAGAUGAGACUUCCCAUUACGCAAGUAGGUAAGACCCCUUAAAGACGAUAAGGUUGAUAGGUCAGGAGUGUAAGCAUGGUGACAUGUUCAGCGGACUGAUACUAAUAGGUCGAGGACUUAACCUA